rnacentral:rRNA from 1 species
UACGUAUGGUGCAAGCGUUAUCCGGAUUUACUGGGUGUAAAGGGAGCGCAGGCGGCACGGCAAGCCUGAUGUGAAAGCCCGCGGCCCAACCGCGGGGCUGCAUUGGGAACUACCGGGCUGGAGUGCCGGAGAGGUAGGCGGAAUUCCUAGUGUAGCGGUGAAAUGCGUAGAUAUUAGGAGGAACACCAGUGGCGAAGGCGGCCUACUGGACGGUGACUGACGCUGAGGCUCGAAGGCGUGGGGAGCAAACAGG